rnacentral:rRNA from 1 species
AUUGAACGCUGGCGGCAGGCUUAACACAUGCAAGUCGAGCGGGGAAGGGUAGCUUGCUACCUAACCUAGCGGCGGACGGGUGAGUAAUGCUUAGGAAUCUGCCAUUUAGUGGGGGACAACAUUCCGAAAGGAAUGCUAAUACCGCAUACGUCCUACGGGAGAAAGCAGGGGAUCUUCGGACCUUGCGCUAAAUGAUGAGCCUAAGUCGGAUUAGCUAGUUGGUGGGGUAAAGGCCUACCAAGGCGACGAUCUGUAGCGGGUCUGAGAGGAUGAUCCUCCACACUGGGACUGAGACACGGCCCAGACUCCUACGGGAGGCAGCAGUGGGGAAUAUUGGACAAUGGGCGGAAGCCUGAUCCAGCCAUGCCGCGUGUGUGAAGAAGGCCUUAUGGUUGUAAAGCACUUUAAGCGAGGAGGAGGCUACCUAGAUUAAUACUCUAGGAUAGUGGACGCUACUCGCAGAAUAAGCACCGGCUAACUCUGUGCCAGCCGCCGCCGUAAUAC